rnacentral:tRNA from 1 species
GCGGGAGUGGCGAAACUGGUAGACGCACCGGCUUUAGGUGCCGGCGCUUCGGCGUGAGGGUUCGAGUCCCUCCUCCCGUA